rnacentral:rRNA from 1 species
UACGUAGGUGGCAAGCGUUGUCCGGAUUUACUGGGCGUAAAGAGCGCGCAGGCGGUCGUGCAAGUCGCGUGUGAAAGCCCCCGGCUCAACUGGGGAGGGUCACGCGAUACUGCUCGACUAGAGGACCGGAGAGGAUAGUGGAAUUCCCAGUGUAGUGGUGAAAUACGUAGAGAUUGGGAAGAACACCAGUGGCGAAGGCGGCUAUCUGGACGGUUUCUGACGCUAAGACGCGAAAGCGUGGGGAGCAAACAGG